rnacentral:lncRNA from 1 species
CUGGCUGAAGUCUGGCAGCGGUUGGAGUCCGGACAGGGGCUUACCAGCGGUUGGAGUUGAGGACGGAGCCCGGCUCCCGUAGGAGUCCGGGCGGAGUCCGCUUGCGGUUGACAUUGUUGGCGGAGUCCGGCUCCCGUAGGAGUCCGGACGGAGUCUGUUUGCAGCUGUUGGAGUUGAGGAUGAAGCCCGGCUCCCGUAGGAGUCCGGGCGGAGUCUUCCUGCAACUAAAGUUAAAGGCGAAGUCCGGCUCCCGUAGAAGUCCGGAUGGGGCU